GCCUCUAUGAUUCCAUAUUCUGAUCCUAUGUGCCUAUAUCCUAUUUUACUCCCACGGGUAGCAAAGCCAGAAAUGAUAGAGUGGGAAAUACGAAUAAUUGACUAUGGUCAAAACUGAAGCUCCUUAACACGAUAAUAACACCUUGUGGUUAUAAUGACACGUCUAUGAAACAGCCACUUAGACAUUACUUCAAAUCCAUGUUAUCGUUCUGAACUAUCAUUUCUUUGUUUAGGAAAUCUUCAAAUAGCAAGUUUACUGCAUGCAUGAAAAAAAAAAGCUACAAAGCUAUAACAAAAGUCAAUAGGUGACUGACAUGUCUAGGACAAAUACAUAACCAUAUUUUUAAAAGUAAAAAAACAGUACCUGCACUUACACUGAAUGUUUUUUGAAUAUUUAAAUUUAAAAAAAAAAAGUGGUUCUUCAGUACCUGAGGGAAGAACUGAUCCCACACCUUCCACAUCUGGACCACAAAGCAGUCCACAGACUGAAGGUUCUAAUGCUCCAGAUGCUCCAGAAGAAAGCAAGCAGGAAUAAUAUAUUUUAUUAAUCUUUGCAAAAAUGUUGAUUUUCAUUUGUUUCUCCUUGCUUGUAAUUUACACCAUUUAUAGACUUCAUGAUUACUGUGCAGGUUAAAAAUAAAUAAAAAAUAUAAGGCAUAAACUGAAGAUGCACUCAUAAAAUAUUGACCUCAAUUCAUUUUUAUUGAGCAUUCAGCUGACGAUUUUAUACACACAGACUUUCCAGUUGUUUCUCAAACACUAGUCUCUAUGAUUCAAUAUUCUGAUGUGCCUAUAUCCUAUUUUACUCCCUCAGGUAGCAAAGCCAUAAAUGAUAGUGUGGGAAAUAUGAAUAAUUGACUAUGGUCAAAACUGAAGCUCCUUAACACGAUAAUAACACCUUGUGGUUAUAAUGACACGUCUAUGAAACAGCCACUUAGACGUUACUUCAAAUCCAUGUUAUCUUUCUGAACUAUCAUUUCUUUGUUUAGGAAAUCCUCAAAUAUCACGUUUACUGCAUGCAUGAGAAAAAAAAAGCACAAAGCUAUAACAAAAGUCAAUAGGUGACUGACAUUCCUAGUUCAAAUAGGUGAUGUUUUUAAAGAAAAACAGUCCUGAAUUUACACUAAUUUUACUGAGAAUUUAUUGAAUAUUUCAUAUUUUUUAAAAAGUGCAAAGUCAUGCAAAAUUUUAAGACAUGACAGUAUAGAAUAGUAUACUAAAAUAUAGUUGCAUAAACAGAUUAAAUAAAGAUCUCUAACAGAAACUGAAAGAUAUUCAUAUUUAGGGUUAUUCAUUCAGCAGAUACAGCAGAUUUCACUUUUCUGGUCUCGUUGGGUCUCCAAUGACAGAGAAGCAUCCAGCACAGUAACGGGCCGGUUUCUUUGUGUUAGCAGAAUUGGCUCUUUUCAUACGGAAUCCAAGACUGCUGACCCUCACAUCCUACAAACGUCACAACAGCUGUAAUAUUCCACAUACAAACAAAAUAGGUUUGAUUAUGUAAC
rnacentral:lncRNA from 1 species